rnacentral:lncRNA from 1 species
CACAUCCCUAUCUCUUCCUCUAUAAACUCCCCCAGAUCGCAGUGCUCGCCACCAGCUACCUGAGAUGGACGGGCGGCGACGGCAAGAGGCGGCCAGAGGGAGCCGCGACGAGCUCCCUAAACUCGGUGGAGCGACGAGCUGCGGCGGGCCUCGCCUCAGCCAUCGAGGGAAAGGGAGGUUCGCCGUAGGCGGUUCGCUGCGGCGGAAGGUGAGGGAGCUGCGUCGGCUUGUGCCCGGCGGGAGGCAGCUGCCCGCCGAGCAGCUUCUCCUGCACACGGCCGACUACAUCCUCCGGCUGAGGUUGCAGGUGCAGCUCUUGAGGGCUCUUUCCAAGUUGUACACGCCAUGAUAUAUCCAUCCAUCUACAUAUAUAUAUAACUAUAACUAUAUAUAUUAGUUGGUGUAUUAUUACAUCGUUGGCGUAUGUUUUUGGUGUGAAUCAAUCAACUCUCGCGAUAUCUGGGUUGACUAAAUUGUGGAUGGCUUCUAAGAGUACUUGUAUUGAUUAAUAGGAAAUAGAAAAUAUAAGAACAUUUGUUCUUCUUUUUCUUCCCUCAAUCAACCAUAAUCACUUUUGUAUAAUUAGACGCCGAUCGAUGAAAAAAAAAGAAGCUUUUUUCAUAUAUUUUUGUUCAAUUCAUGUAUUGAAUCCUAAUAAUAUUCAGAGAUUUAUUAAUACUUUCACUUUAUCAUUCCACUAUUAGAGCCCAUUUGUGGGAUUGACCCAGAUCGGUCAGACUUGAUGUAGGCCUUCGGAUCGUGUAAACUUACGGCCCAGAUCUUGAGUCAGUCAUCUAGCAGCAAGUAGAUUCAACCCC